rnacentral:rRNA from 1 species
GGGUUGUGAGGUUAAGCGACUAAGCGUACACGGUGGAUGCCCUGGCAGUCAGAGGCGAUGAAGGACGUGCUAAUCUGCGAUAAGCGUCGGUAAGGUGAUAUGAACCGUUAUAACCGGCGAUUUCCGAAUGGGGAAACCCAGUGUGAUUCGUCACACUAUCAUUACGUGAAUACAUAGCGUAAUGAAGCGAACCGGGGGAACUGAAACAUCUAAGUACCCCGAGGAAAAGAAAUCAACCGAGAUUCCCCCAGUAGCGGCGAGCGAACGGGGAGCAGCCCAGAGUCUGAAUCAGCUUGUGUGUUAGUGGAACGGUCUGGAAAGUCCGACGGUACAGGGUGAUAGUCCCGUACACCAAAAUGCACAGGUUGUGAACUCGAAGAGUAGGGCGGGACACGUGGUAUCCUGUCUGAAUAUGGGGGGACCAUCCUCCAAGGCUAAAUACUCCUGACUGACCGAUAGUGAACCAGUACCGUGAGGGAAAGGCGAAAAGAACCCCGGCGAGGGGAGUGAAAAAGAACCUGAAACCGUGUACGUACAAGCAGUGGGAGC